AAAUGACAGGAAUAAACUAAUAUACAGUAAGGAUUCAAGUUGGAAAUAAAAAACUUGAUCGAGAGGAAGAUAGGGCAAGAGAGUAACCAAGAAGAAGAAAAUAUUUAUAUUUCUCAAUUUCUUCUGCAAUUGUUCAUCUUCGAAACAUGGUAUCAUCAGCAACUGGAUCCGUUCUACUUAACAAAGAACAAUUGACAUCGCAGAUCUCAUUUGAUCUCACAUGCAUACUUAUUGGGUGAUGCAAAGCCUUUGCAGCAACAGUGGCUGCCUGCAACCUAACGGUUCACCAUCAUCUCUGCCAUCUUAAAAACCCAGAAGUUAUUUGCUUGAUUUUGGAUUAUACGGAGAAAAGUAAUUGCUAGGUCCCAUUCUUUAUUCAUUGCCAGCAAUGCCACCAGAACUCAGAACUCAGAACUGCAAAACCCUGUUCUUUUGGCUUUGGCCAUUUACCUUGCCUGGUUCAUAAAAGUAUCGCACGAAUCUGCUGUACCUAGUUACUAUUCCAAAAUUAUUACAGUCUGUUACCAGUUACAGUGUUUCAUGUGUAACACAGAGUUUUUCCACAUAUACAGACGAGAGAGAGAGAGAGAG
rnacentral:lncRNA from 1 species